AAAAAUCUGUACUCUUUGGUUGUUAAAUGAAUUAUUUGAAUUAUUUCUGUAUUUCAAGUAAAUAAAAUUAUGCAUAUGUAUAUGUGAAUGGGUAUACAUAUUUAAACAUACCAGGUUUUCCCCCAUAAUUAGUGCAUGCUUUAUAAACUUGUAGCUAUAAGAUAAUUUUUAACAUCAUGACUUUCAAUUGUAGGCAGUUGAGUGUGCAAAAUAUGAUUCAGUGGGGACUCAAGCGCAACCACACAAAAUCCAAGUGAGGAUGUGAUUGCAGUGUGGGAGACAACUCUACAUUUCCAAACCAUGUAGAGGAAUGUGGAAGUGCUCAGACGAAUGUAUUCUCCCAUGAAGAUAAAAGUGAAUUGGACUAGCAUGUCAUUGGCCUGGAAUUUUCAUGGCUCUUACCUGCUUCCCCAUUAAAUGAGUACUAGGAGUUGGUGGACAAAUUGAAUCUUUAGGGCUUCUGCUGUGCUGCAGUGGUUCAGCCGGAGAAGCAAAAACUUGUAAGUUCAUAUAUUUGUUGGCAAAUUCAGUUCCUUAUGACAUGUUGCUAAACAUCAAAACUGAAGCAUUUCUGUGUAAGUUGUUUUUGUUUUUGCACCUGUUAAGCAUUAAUAAAUUAUAUAGUAAAGUGACUGGC
rnacentral:lncRNA from 1 species